GGGGCCGUAGCCCAAUUGGCAGAGGCACACGGUUUAGGUCCGUGCCAGUGUGGGUUCGACUCCCAUCGGCCCCA
rnacentral:tRNA from 1 species